UGCUGAGAUGGAUCCCAGAGUUAAAA
rnacentral:piRNA from 1 species